AUUGAACGCUGGCGGCAUGCCUAACACAUGCAAGUCGAACGGCAGCGCGGGGGCAACCCUGGCGGCGAGUGGCGGACGGGUGAGGAAUACAUGGGAAUCUACCCUGUCGCGGGGGAUAACGUAGGGAAACUUACGCUAAUACCGCAUACGACCGAGAGGUGAAAGCGGCGGACCGCAAGGCGUCGCGCGAUUGGAUGAGCCCAUGUCGGAUUAGCUAGUUGGCGGGGUAAAGGCCCACCAAGGCGACGAUCCGUAGCUGGUCUGAGAGGAUGAUCAGCCACACUGGAACUGAGACCCGGUCCAGACUCCUACGGGAGGCAGCAGUGGGGAAUAUUGGACAAUGGGCGCAAGCCUGAUCCAGCAAUGCCGCGUGGGUGAAGAAGGCCUUCGGGUUGUAAAGCCCUUUUGUACGGGAAGAAAUCCUGUCGGUUAAUACCCGGCGGGGAUGACGGUACCGUAAGAAUAAGCACCGGCUAACUUCGUGCCAGCCGCCGCCGUAACAC
rnacentral:rRNA from 1 species